GACGUAGGGCGCGAGCGUUGUCCGGAUUUAUUGGGCGUAAAGAGCUCGUAGGCGGCUUGUCGCGUCGGCUGUGAAAACCCGUGGCUCAACUGCGGGCUUGCAGCCGAUACGGGCAGACUGGAGGUAUGCAGGGGGGGAACGGAAUUCCUGGUGUAGCGGUGAAAUGCGCAGAUAUCAGGAAGAACACCCGUGGCGAAGGCGGCUCUCUGGGACGGUACUGACGCUGAGACGCGAAAGCGUGGGGAGCGAACAGG
rnacentral:rRNA from 1 species